CGCGUCUUUGCCAUUCGGAUCGCGGGGAAAGCAGUGGCUCCAAGUGAGCCAGAGGAGAGCUGAGGAGAGGAGGGGGAGGCCGACGACCUGGGCCCUGGGCCUCUGAAGGAUCCAGGUUGAUGUCAAAGUCUUCUGUCUGUGCGGUAGGUCUGGCGUAUUCUGACAGGACACAGUGAGCGUCUGUAGAGGAGAGGCUUGAAAUAAAGGAGCACGAAUAUUGCCUGGAUUUCUGGAGGCCUACUUUAAGGCUGGCCAAUUCUGCAAGAAAGGCAAGGAGGAGGAGACUGGCUCACAGCUCUGGAGGACCCCCUUCUGUCAGCUGUGGGGCUUGACACCACUUGAACAAGAGAAGGAGGGGGAAACUGCACCACAUCAGUGAAGAUCCACCUCCAGUGGCUGCUUUGCUGGUGGUGGAGUUGCUGCUGACAACCACCCUCAACGGGUCUGCACCCAUCCAGGAAAUAUCUGUCUUCCUUUAGCUUGGUUGUACCUGUUCUCGCUCUAUCUGUAUUAUUGAAUUAUUGACUGAGACUGUGUUUGGGAAGGAGGCUGAGUGACUACUGGACUGGAUAUUGACUCUAACUCUUAUUCCCAAGCUUAUAUCCUUAAUCACCUAAAGAUCAGAGUGUGAAGAAACAAACCUGUGACAGAUCUGUGGU
rnacentral:sRNA from 1 species